rnacentral:rRNA from 2 species
GCGGUAAUUCUAGCUCCAAUAGCGUAUAUGUAAAUUGUUGCGGUUGAAAAGCUCGUAGUUGGACUUCUGGCGUCCGCGUUCUGUCCACCUCGAGUGAUGACGGUUCGCGGGCGUCGUUUUUGUCGACGGUGCGUGUCGGACUUCACUGGCCGGUGCGCUCUCUGUCGGCGAUGUUACUUUGAGGAAAUCAGAGUGCUCAAAGCAAGCGUUCGCUCGUGACUUCACUAGCAUGGAAUAACACAGAUGGGCUCUUUUUCGCAACGUUGGUCUGCGUCAACUGAGCAACGAUCGAUAGAGACGGUCGGGGGCAUUCGUAUUGCGCAGUUAGAGGUGAAAUUCUCCGAUCUGCGCAAGACGCACUAAUGCGAAAGCAGUUGCCAAGGACGUUCUCUUAUGAUCAAGAGCGAAAGUCGGGGGAUCAAAGAUGAUUAGAUACCGUCGUAGUCCCGACCAUAAAUGAUGCCAACUGAGCGUCGGCGACGCGGCUGUCAGCCGGACGUCGGCGCUCUUGAGAGAAAUUAAAGUCUUUGGGCUCCGGGGGUAGUAUGGUCGCAAGUCUGAAACUUGAAGGAAUUGACGGAAGGGCACCACAAGGCGUGGAUGUUGCGGCUUAAUUUGACUCAACACGGGAAAGCUUACUAGGUUUGGACACUUGAAUGAGGGACAUAUUGAAGCUCUUACCUUUUUUUGUGGAUGGUGGUGCAUGGUCGUUCUCAGCCCGUGGGUUGACCUGUCAGGUUUACUCCGGUAACGCGCGAGACCUCGGUUUGCUAAAUAGACACGGCUGUUUCUGCACCCGUGCUCUUCUUAGAGAGAGUCUUGACGAGAGUUGAGGGAAGUCGAGGCAAUAACAGAUCUGUGAUGCCCUUAGUUAUCCUAGGUCGCACGCGCCAUACAAUGUGGCGCACAACGAGUCUCCUAGGCCGACAGGAAUUCUCGUCGAUGGCAGAUGCAUUGGUCCCGUAAGUUGGCGCAUCUACUUUUCGAAGUGGAUCGCCGAUAUGCGGUCGAUCGAGCGACGCUGUCGCGAGAACCACUGGGCAAUCUUGCAGAGCGCUACGUGACUGGGCUAGACUUUUGUAAUUGUUGGUCUUGAACGAGGAAUGCCUAGUAAUCGCAGGUCAUUAUCCUGAGAUGAUUCGGUCCCUGCCCUUUGUACACACCGCCCGUCGCUCCAUCCGUGGCAUGCGCCGGUGAAGAGGGGGAGGCAGCGUCGGUCGGGUAACACCGUCUCGUACGUGGAACCCCUCUGAACCUUCGCACGUAGAGGAAGGAGAAGUCGUAACAAGGUUUUCGUAGGUGAACCUGCGAAAGGAUCAUUAUCGGCACAUCCCU